CUGGCUGACUAGGGAGGAGAAUAGAGCUCCUGUGGUUUCCUGAAGAAAGGAACAGUCCAGAACUUCUGUAGAGGCUGCUGACUGCCAAAGGCCCUCUGGAGAAAGGCAGAAAGGUGAUCCCUGGUGGCCAGAUGGAAGUGAAAUUUCCUAACCCUGUUAGUUUUUGGUAGCAGUCUCAGCAGCCUGCUGACCCAUUCAGGAAGGGCUUCAGGAGUUAUGAAAUGAGGACUUAUGUUACCGAAGGUACAUCCUGUAUCUCCUCACCUUAACCAAUUCAGUAAAUAAAUGCACCGAACCACACAGUCAUCUGAACCUGUAGCCGACAAAGGGUUUGCUUCCACGGUUGACUUUCAUUUUACCAUGGAAAGAAGAAGAAGAAGAAAAAAAAAGGAACACUUGAUUGAAAAGAUUCAUCCUUUCCUAGCAUUGUGUUUAAGAGGUGUCUGUUUGGGGGGAUUCAGUAGCACCUCUGCACCUACAGGAGAAAAAGAAUAAGGAUGUGUAUCCUGCUCUGCAGCUGAGAAACACUGUAGCACUUUUCAGUGACUCUGGAAUUCGUUUCCUCUGAAGUGUUGUUGGCUUUAUACACAAAAAACAAGACUUGAAAAUUGAUUCAUUGCCACAUCUUUUCCCAUAGAAAACAAAUAGUGUAAACUUCCUUUGAAAUCAUCAAACUGAAUUGUGGAUACAUUAUUUAUUGGCUUGCGUUGAUUUUAUAACUAAUGAUGGAGGCACUGCUUGUGAGUCAAUAGUUAAGGCUGAGUUUUUCAUUUAAAGCAGGGAUUCAGGCUUUGGUAUGAAUAAUAUAGCAUAGCCUCUCCAAACUUACAGCACUUACUCUUUUUGAGUACAGAAUAUAGAUAGAUAGAUAGCAUUUGCAAGAACACUUGUUAAUUUUUAUUCAUAAACUGACUUAUAAAUUGGUCUUUUCAGAAAUUCAGCAACCACUGUUUCAUCUCUUUGACUUGAAUGAUCAUAGCAAUGGCAUAACAAAUGCUCUAACUUUCCAUAUUGCUAAAACUCACUGAAAACUUAUUCAUAGUCUACAUUUGAAGCAAUUAGUUUGUAAUUAAGAAAAGUUAUUAACUGUUCCAUCCAGUUGUUAAGUUUAUAGGCUAUGGAUCAGGUCAAUAGCUCAUGUCAUUCAUAAGAUGUGUCAUUAUGCCAUUAGAAAUAACUUAACAAAUCAUCACCAUUCCUUUCCAAUUAAUUUGCAUGCUGAAAUUCUAUUGAUUUGAAAUGAAUUAGUGGAGUAAGGGAAGAUUGUACAUGUGUCAAUAUGUAAAUAUCCUCUUUCAGAGCUCUCUGGAAAUGUCCAGCUUCUAUUAACUUCUGAGGGUGGACUGUCAAAACAAAUACCAGUCCCCAACAAAGUAAGUGAACACCAAACCUGAAGUCACACUAACCUAUGUGUUAAACUUUUUUAAGUCCAAAAAUAUUAGGCAAUUGAGUAAGGGAUGGAGAAAAUAACUGCAGUAUGUAUAGGUCAACUGGGGGAAAUGUUUGGUAUUUAAUACAUGUUUUCUAGAGAUUAAAAAAAAAAAUUAAGCAAUAAAGGCUUAUCUCUCUCACAAUGUUAGCUAUUUCUAUCAAGAGUUUCCAUUAAGCUAAGUGAUUUUUUCAAGGGGCGUUCUUGCAGAUUAUUAAGGACCAAUUAAGUGCCU